UUCAAAGUGAUGAAGAAGAGUAGUAAUUUAUUUAACUUUUCAUAGAGAGCUGAUGAUUGGUGUAAAUCAGUAAAAGUGAUGAAUGAACGUGCUUUGGAGCUUUUAAAUCGAGUUUUGAUGAGGUUUAAACGUAUGUCGGCGUUAACGAUAUAAGUGCUAGGUUUUUAAUCUAGAACUAAGGUGGUACCGCGAUUAACUCGUCCUUAGA
rnacentral:ncRNA from 1 species